GAUGAAGAACGUAGCGAAAUGCGAUACGUAGUGUGAAUUGCAGAAUUCAGUGAAUCAACGAAUCUUUGAACGCACAUUGCGCCCAUUAGUAUUCUAGUGGGCAUGCCUGUUCGAGCGUCAUUAAGUCCACUUAAGCCCUGCUUAGUGUUGGGAGACUGCUCCAGCGGUGCUACCCUGUAGCUACCCUGCAGCUCCUCAAAGACAGCGGCGGAGUUGUGGUAUCCUCUGAGCUUAGUAACUUGUUCUAGCUUUCGAGUACACCACUUCCCCUGCCGUAAAACCCUUAAUUUUUAAUGGUUGACCUCGGAUCAGGUAGGAAUACCCGCUGAACUUAAGCAUAUCAAUAAGCGGAGGA
rnacentral:misc_RNA from 1 species